GUCUUCAGGGCAGGGGUGAAAGUCCCUACCGGCGGUACAGCCCGCGAGCCGAAAAGGCAUGAUCCGGUCAGAUUCCGGAGCCGACAGUAUAGUCUGGAUGGAAGAAG
rnacentral:ncRNA from 1 species